rnacentral:rRNA from 1 species
GACGAACGCUGGCGGCGUGGAUUAGGCAUGCAAGUCGAACGGUAUCAUCCUUUCGGGGGUGAGAGAGUGGCGAACUGGUGAGUAACACGUAGGUUAUCUACCCUCAAGACGGGGACAACCCAGGGAAACUUGGGCUAAUACCGGAUGUGAGCAACUUUUAGUUGUUUGAAAGGUGGCGUAAGCUGUCGCUUGGGGAUGAGCCUGCGUCCUAUUAGUUAGUUGGUGGGGUAACGGCUCACCUAGGCAAUGAUAGGUAGGCGGCCUUAACGGGUGGUCGCCCACACUAAGGGAUUGAGAUACGGCCCAGACUCCUACGGGAGGCAGCAGUCGAGAAUAGUCUACAAUGGUCGGAAGACUGAUAGUGCGACGCCGCGUGAACGAUGAAUCCCUUCGGGGUGUAAAGUUCUUUUAUAUGUGAGCAGUGCUUCUUGUAUUAACAGUAUGGGGAGAGAGAUAUUAGCAUAUGAAUAAGCAACGGCUAACUCCGUGCCAGCAGCCGCGGUAAACUCGUCU